AUAAGAUCCUGAACAGCCUUGACAAGGUGGAUGUCAAAAGGACGUUUCCUUUCAUGGGAUGGGUCUGCCAAGCAUCGGUGGCUGGAAGCCUUGAAGUACAAUGAUUGAUGUUGUGAGCACACAGUAAUUAAUGACAGUGAUGUAAGGCGGUGGAGUGACCUGGUGGAGGAG